CAGGAGUGUACCCUGUCCUGCGUGGUCCCUGCACUGUCCUUCAGGAUUCCUGCAGGAUUUUUUUAUUUAUUUUUUUGUAAGGGAAGUUGAGACAUUUUUGAGUGUGGUCCUAGAGGGUGGGCUUUGGCAACACUGGGGUGGUUUUUCCAGGAUGCAGGGUAACAUGAAAAAAGGAAGGAUGUAAAAAAAGGCUGGAACAAACUCUUUCCUUGCAAUCUUGAAUUAUUCGGAGAAACAGAGAGAAGUGAGUAAGAGUAGUACUUUUUAAACUAUUUAUAGACAGUAACAUGAUCACUGUAGCGAACUUGUUUCCAGGGUCUGUUCUAGUGCUCACAUAUUUAUGGACGUGUAAAGAAUAUGUGUGUGGGUUGUAAUAGGCUUAUUAUAAAUUUUUUUGAGACUAUUCUCAAACAUUCCACCGAAGAUAGCAAAGUGACAGAAAAGAGAGCAGGCGGAUAGUAAUGAGAAAAGGAGAUUGGCUGAAUAUUGUAGAUAGUUUGUAAAGUACACUGUAUUGGUCCAAACCUGAGGAGUUUUUUCUACAUCGUGCGUGCAUCUCACUACACAACAACCAUUGCUCAUUGACACAAUCCUGACUGAGCCCUGCCCACAGAGAUUAUCACAGACAGACAUCGACGUAUUAGAAAUCCUCUAAGAGUUAACACCAAAGACAGCUUUCUGGAAAACAACAGGACAACACAUCACAGCCUCCAGUAACACCAGAGCCACAGCCCUCUCUACAGCAUCCCCAAUUCCGAGCUCAGACAAAAUGGAGGAACUGGUCCAUGCUGGAACCAAACUCUCCCACUCUAAUGCUGCAGGCCCCAAGAUAUCAACCAAAAAACAUCGAGCCCCGCAACCACCAGAGGCUCCUGUUGUGAUAACUCUCCAGCCGCUGCCACGACGCCAGGGCCCACCCCACCCUCCAUCUGCUAUGGAUGGGUUGCUUCAGGACACAGAGCAGCUGAAAAGUCAAGUUCUGACUGGUUUAGAGAUUCAGCAGGAGGACAUUCGAGGGCCGGUCUCUGAACUUCAGGCACAGGUGCUUCCAGACUUUCAAGACAGUGUUAUUGAAGACCCUGUGAAAAAGAGAGGGGUAGUGGACAAACAGGUGGUGGCGCUCGUGAAAACCUUGUGGUUGCACAACAUAUGCAUUGGAGUAGGUGACCUCUUGGAAGAGACAGAUGGAGAUGUUCCACAGGACCACGGCACGAUCAACCUCUCCAAGAAAAUGCCGACAGCCAGAGCAGAGCAUGAAAGGCUGGCAGCAUAAAUUUCAUCACUCCUUGAUCCACCAGUGGAUCAUGAUUACUUUAUUCAGGUACAUUUAAUAAACAUAAAUCCAGAAACCUUUUCA
ensembl:lncRNA